rnacentral:rRNA from 1 species
ACGUAGGGGGCAAGCGUCGUCCGGAUUUAUUGGGCGUAAAGAGCGUGUAGGCGGCCAGAUAGGUCCGUUGUGAAAACUCGAGGCUCAACCUCGAGACGCCGAUGGAAACCAUCUGGCUAGAGUCCGGAAGAGGAGAGUGGAAUUCCCGGUGUAGCGGUGAAAUGCGCAGAUAUCAGGAGGAACACCUAUGGCGAAGGCAGCUUGCUGGGACGACACUGACGCUGAGACGCGAAAGCGUGGGGAGCAAACAGGA